CAAUCCCUCGAGUGCGGCAAGUGGCUACGGAUAGACUUGAGCCGGGGAAAACACCAACACGAACCAUCUCUCUCUUGACUUCAAGCUGUGGAUGGUUCGUCUUCUCCGUUGGGGAUGUCAACACGAGGACUUGGCAAGAAGAUACUAUGAAAUGCGGCAUCGCCUCUCACACACGGAUGUCAUGGUAGGAACAGCUGGAUUCAGGAUUUCACCCCUGCACCCGUUUAUUGGGGCCUCACCUGAUGGAUACGUUUCCUGUAGCUGCUGUGGUUCAGGUGUCAUAGAAAUGAAGUGCCCAUUUUCUGCAAAGGACCUUUCUGUUAAUUAGGCAGUAAAGUGUUUUUCUGCAAAGAAACCAGCACCAGC
ensembl:lncRNA